AUGUUCACCUUUAUAUUCAUGUGUAUGUGGAUUUCACUAGGUGACUCUACAACAGAUCCAAUCAAGCCACUUGAUCCACAUAAAAGUGUAACUGAAGGUGAUACUGUUACUCUGUCCUGCAGCUACAAAGACUUCAGUGGAAAUGUUAACAAUCUGCAGUGGUAUCGUCAAUAUCCAAAAUCUAAACCAGAGUUCCUUCUUUCCACCGUUCCCUUUGGAGAUCCAAGUAAAAACAUCUCAUUACGUUUGUCUGCUAAAGGUAAUCAGGAUAUGAAACAAGUGGAUCUGAACAUCUCCUCUGCUGCAGUAUCAGACUCUGCAAUAUAUUACUGUGCUCUGGUGCCCACAGUGACAGGAAACCCAGCUGCACUGUACAAAAACUUCAACACAGAUGUUUUGGCAGAUCCACUACUUAACUCGAU